rnacentral:rRNA from 1 species
AUUGAACGCUGGCGGCAGGCCUAACACAUGCAAGUCGAACGAGUGGCGGACGGGUGCGUAAUGUCUGGGAAACUGCCUGAUGGCGGGGGCUAACUACUGGAACCGGUAGCUAAUACCGCAUACCCUCAGAUGUGCCCAGAUGGGCUUGGCUAGUUGGUGGGGUAACGGCUCACCAAGGCGAAGAGCCCUAGCUGGUCUGAGAGGAUGACCGGCCACACUGGAACGUAGACACGGUCCAGACUCCGACGGGAGGCAGCAUUGGGGAAUAUUGCACAAUGGGAGCAAGCCUGAUGCAGCCAUGCCGCGUGUAUGAAGAAGGCCUUCGGGUUGUAAAGUACUUUCAGCGGGGAGGCGUUACCCGCAGAAGAAGCACCGGCUAACUCCGUGCCAGCAGCCGCGGUAAUUC